UUUAUAGUAAAUUAAAUAGUUAAUUAAUAAUAAAUAAACUAAUUAAGAAUAAAUUAAUGGUAAAUUAAUUAAUUAUAAUUAAAAAAUAAAUUAACAAUUAAUUAAUUAUUAAUUACUAAAUAAAUAAAUAAAGUAAUUAUUAAUAAUUAUAAAUAACAAUAAUUUAAUUAAUAAUUAUAAAUAAUAAAUUAAUAAAUUAUUUUAUUAUUUAAGCACUAAAUAAUAAUUUAAAUAUAUUAAUUAAAUUAAUUAAUUAUUUAAUAUCAUAAUUAAAAUUAUUUUUAGAUUUUAAUUAACAUUAUUCUCAACUGGGAGUAAGAUUAUUUCAGAGAAAAAGUGAAACAUCAGUUCUAGUCUUAUACCGACUUAUUUUAGAAAUUUAAAAAUUAUUAUUUUUGAGUGCUAAAUGCAGCGUUUGGAAAUAAAUGAGAGAAUAAGAAAUUAUUCCCACUCUGGUUCCACAACCAAACGCUACCUUGAAGAUGGAGUCUCUUUCCAAAUCCCCAC
rnacentral:lncRNA from 1 species